rnacentral:rRNA from 1 species
AGCCUGAUGCAGCAACGCCGCGUGAACGAUGAAGGUCUUCGGAUCGUAAAGUUCUGUUGCAGGGGAAGAUAAUGACGGUACCCUGUGAGGAAGCCCCGGCUAACUACGUGCCAGCAGCCGCGGUAAUACGUAGGGGGCUAGCGUUAUCCGGAUUUACUGGGCGUAAAGGGUGCGUAGGUGGUCCUUCAAGUCGGUGGUUAAAGGCUACGGCUCAACCGUAGUAAGCCGCCGAAACUGGAGGACUUGAGUGCAGGAGAGGAAAGUGGAAUUCCCAGUGUAGCGGUGAAAUGCGUAGAUAUUGGGAGGAACACCAGUAGCAAAGGCGGCUUUCUGGACUGCAUACUGACACUGAGGCACGAAAGCGUGGGUAGCAAACAGGAUUAGAUACCCUGGUAGUCCACGCUGUAAACGAUGAGUACUAGGUGUCGGGGGU